rnacentral:rRNA from 1 species
GACGAACGCUGGCGGCGUGCCUAAUACAUGCAAGUUGAGCGCUGAAGGUUGGUACUUGUACCAACUGGAUGAGCAGCGAACGGGUGAGUAACGCGUGGGGAAUCUGCCUUUGAGCGGGGGACAACAUUUGGAAACGAAUGCUAAUACCGCAUAAAAACUUUAAACACAAGUCUUAAGUUUGAAAGAUGCAAUUGCAUCACUCAAAGAUGAUCCCGCGUUGUAUUAGCUAGUUGGUGAGGUAAAGGCUCACCAAGGCGAUGAUACAUAGCCGACCUGAGAGGGUGAUCGGCCACAUUGGGACUGAGACACGGCCCAAACUCCUACGGGAGGCAGCAGUAGGGAAUCUUCGGCAAUGGACGAAAGUCUGACCGAGCAACGCCGCGUGAGUGAAGAAGGGUUUCGGAUCGUAAAACUCUGUUGGUAGAGAAGAACGUUGGUGAGAGUGGAAAGCUCAUCAAGUGACGGUAACUACCCAGAAAGGGACGGCUAACUACGUG